rnacentral:sRNA from 1 species
CAACUAAGGUUAAUAGGUACAUGUUGGGGGGAUUGGGUUGGGUGAUUCGUGCCCUCUAUACUGUGGGACGUCUAAGUCAACAUAAUGAACAAUAUGACUUCACACUUUCGCUCCGUCCUGCCCAGCUGCAUGUUUCAUGGCUCCUGUUAUAGAGUGUUGUGCCUGAUCUGUACAACCCUUUGAAGAAAUUAUAUAUGGUUGGUGUUGAGAUAUCAAUAGCCGCUCAAGAAAAAAAACAAUGCGGUGUUUAGCCGGCGGCCGAAUAUGUCUUUCUUCCCUACUAUUCUAAUCUCCCAUCCGUGGCAUUUUUGACUCGAAACAGCCCAAGAGAUCCAACCUACCUGGAGGGUUAGCCGCGUUAUUGACUUCAUGACGGGUGGUGUGCAGACAACUGUUGAAGAUUGCCCCACUGCCACAUUACUAGCGAACAAGCUCCAAAGGCCAGAGCAAGGAUAUCAUUUGACUAUUAUCCUCGAUGGAGGAUGCCUUGUUCCUAGAUCGCCAGCCUAGCAACUAUGAAGAUUAGAUGGCUAUUGACCAGCACGGCGACUACACAGCUGCCAAUUAGAUAUCGACAUCUUGAUAUCUCUGAUGUUGUCAAUGCGCGGCAUCCGCGCCCAGCUCGCAAUUAGAAAGAUGGGAAUUGUUUACUCCGAUGGGAUCAGGCAUUGAGAGCUCUUUGUGCUCCCAAUAUCUUCUGACAGACGGAACUUUGCAUUGAAAAGUCGUGAAUUAUUAUUUAUUUACAUGAUUAGAUAUAACCG